CGUGUAGGCGGCCGUUUAAGUCAGAUGUGAAAGCCCGGGGCUCAACCCCGGAAGUGCAUUUGAUACUAUUCGGCUUGAGUAUGGGAGAGGGAAGUGGAAUUCCUGGUGUAGAGGUGAAAUUCGUAGAUAUCAGGAGGAACACCGGUGGCGAAGGCGACUUCCUGGACCAAUACUGACGCUGAGGCGCGAAGGCGUGGGGAGCAAACAGGAUUAGAUACCCUGGUAGUCC
rnacentral:rRNA from 1 species